rnacentral:rRNA from 1 species
CACCUUUGGCGUCGAGCGGCGGACGGGUGAGUAAUGCUUGGGAAUAUGCCUUAUGGUGGGGGACAACAGUUGGAAACGACUGCUAAUACCGCAUGAUGUCUACGGACCAAAGUGGGGGACCUUCGGGCCUCACGCCAUAAGAUUAGCCCAAGUGGGAUUAGCUAGUUGGUGAGGUAAUGGCUCACCAAGGCGACGAUCCCUAGCUGGUUUGAGAGGAUGAUCAGCCACACUGGGACUGAGACACGGCCCAGACUCCUACGGGAGGCAGCAGUGGGGAAUAUUGCACAAUGGGCGCAAGCCUGAUGCAGCCAUGCCGCGUGUGUGAAGAAGGCCUUCGGGUUGUAAAGCACUUUCAGUAAGGAGGAAAGGUUAAGUGUUAAUAGCACUUAGCUGUGACGUUACUUACAGAAGAAGCACCGGCUAACUCCGUGCCAGCAGCCGCGGUAAUACGGAGGGUGCGAGCGUUAAUCGGAAUUACUGGGCGUAAAGCGUACGCAGGCGGUUUGUUAAGCGAGAUGUGAAAGCCCCGGGCUCAACCUGGGAACUGCAUUUCGAACUGGCAAACUAGAGUGUGAUAGAGGGUGGUAGAAUUUCAGGUGU